rnacentral:tRNA from 1 species
GGAGCAGUGGCCGAGUGGUUUAAGGCGACGGUCUUGAAAACCGUUGUACCGCAAGGUACCGGGGGUUCGAAUCCCUCCUGCUCCG